AUUGAACGCUGGCGGCAGGCCUAACACAUGCAAGUCGAACGAGUGGCGGACGGGUAAGUAAUGUCUGGGAAACUGCCCGAUGGAGGGGGCUAACUACUGGAAACGGUAACUAAUACCGACUCCCAUAGGCUGUGCCAUGAUGGGAUGAGCUAGUAGGUGGGGUAACGGCUCACCUAGGCGACGAUCCCCAGCUGGUCUGAGGGGAUGACCAGCAACACGGGAACUGAGACACGGUCCAGACUCCUACGGGAGGCAGCAGUGGGGAAUAUUGCACAAUGGGCGCAAGCCUGAUGCAGCCAUGCCGCGUGUAUGAAGAAGGCCUUCGGGUUGUAAAGUACUUUCAGCGAGGAGGCGUUACUCGCAGAAGAAGCACCGGCUAACUCCGUGCCAGCCGCCGCGGUAAUAC
rnacentral:rRNA from 1 species